GACGAACGCUGGCGGCGUGCCUAAUACAUGCAAGUAGAACGCUGAAGGAGGAGCUUGCUCCUCUGGAUGAGUUGCGAACGGGUGAGUAACGCGUAGGUAACCUGCCUGGUAGCGGGGGAUAACUAUUGGAAACGAUAGCUAAUACCGCAUAACAGUAGAUAUUGCAUGAUAUCUGCUUGAAAGGUGCAAAUGCAUCACUACCAGAUGGACCUGCGUUGUAUUAGCUAGUUGGUGAGGUAACGGCUCACCAAGGCGACGAUACAUAGCCGACCUGAGAGGGUGAUCGGCCACACUGGGACUGAGACACGGCCCAGACUCCUACGGGAGGCAGCAGUAGGGAAUCUUCGGCAAUGGACGGAAGUCUGACCGAGCAACGCCGCGUGAGUGAAGAAGGUUUUCGGAUCGUAAAGCUCUGUUGUAAGAGAAGAACGAGUGUGAGAGUGGAAAGUUCACACUGUGACGGUAUCUUACCAGAAAGGGACGGCUAACUACGUGCCAGCAGCCGCGGUAAUACGUAGGUCCCGAGCGUUGUCCGGAUUUAUUGGGCGUAAAGCGAGCGCAGGCGGUUAGAUAAGUCUGAAGUUAAAGGCUGUGGCUUAACCAUAGUACGCUUUGGAAACUGUUCAACUUGAGUGCAAGAGGGGAGAGUGGAAUUCCAUGUGUAGCGGUGAAAUGCGUAGAUAUAUGGAGGAACACCGGUGGCGGAAGCGGCUCUCUGGCUUGUAACUGACGCUGAGGCUCGAAAGCGUGGGGAGCAAACAGG
rnacentral:rRNA from 1 species